GCGUUCAAUAUCACGGGUUUUAGCAAUACCGACAUUUCGCUAAAUUCGUGACAUCGAAUGUUU
rnacentral:precursor_RNA from 1 species